rnacentral:piRNA from 1 species
CUCCUCAGCCGAGAAUGACUUCGUCCGU